UCAGAUGGCCGGAUGGCUGCUGCCCGCAUCGCCUGCGAUGGGGGGAGAGGAAAGUCCGGGCUCCACAGGAUCGGGAUGCCGGGUAACCCCCGGCGGGGGCAACCCCAGGGAAAGUGCCGCAGAAAACAAACCGCCAGCCGGGUUUCGACCGGGGCUGGUAAGGGUGAAAAGGUGCGGUAAGAGCGCACCGCCAGGCCGGUAACGGGCUGGGCAGGGUAAACCCCAUCCGGAGCAAGACCAUGUAGGGACACGCGCCGCCUUCGGGCGGCAGGCGCGAUCCUGCGCCGCUGUCCGGGUAGGUCGCUCGACGCUGCUGGCAACAGCCGCGCUAGAUGAAUAGCCAUCACCCGCGUGCGGGAACAGAACCCGGCUUACAGGCCAUCUGACAGC
rnacentral:RNase_P_RNA from 2 species